rnacentral:rRNA from 1 species
GAACGCUGGCGGUAGGCCUAACACCUGCAAGUCGAACGGCAGCACAGUAAGAGCUUGCUCUUACGGGUGGCGAGUGGCGGACGGGUGAGGAAUACAUCGGAAUCUACUUUUUCGUGGGGGAUAACGUAGGGAAACUUACGCUAAUACCGCAUACGACCUACGGGUGAAAGCAGGGGAUCUUCGGACCUUGCGCGAUUGAAUGAGCCGAUGUCGGAUUAGCUAGUUGGCGGGGUAAAGGCCCACCAAGGCGACGAUCCGUAGCUGGUCUGAGAGGAUGAUCAGCCACACUGGAACUGAGACACGGUCCAGACUCCUACGGGAGGCAGCAGUGGGGAAUAUUGGACAAUGGGCGCAAGCCUGAUCCAGCCAUACCGCGUGGAUGAAGAAGGCCUUCGGGUUGUAAAGCCCUUUUGUUGGGAAAGAAAAGCAGCAGGUUAAUACCCCGCUGUUCUGACGGUACCCAAAGAAUAAGCACCGGCUAACUUCGUG